CAAAUAGAAUCUUAUCAGAUAAGUGCUUUUAUAAGUCUAAAUAUAUUCUUUGGAAUCUCUAAAGCAAAACUUUUAAACUUUUUUUUUUUUUUUUUUUUUUUUAGGUACCAGCAUCAAGAUGAUUUAUGGUAAUAAGGUACUCAGUCUUUGCUUAAAAUAAAUUUUACGUUUAUCAAAGUAAAAUUUACCAGCUUUUUUUCCUAAAGAGGCUAGUCAUAUCUCAUCAGUGGUUACAAAGUAUCCUUACAAUUGAACCUACAUUUGUUAAUCCUGUUCAGUGUGUAUGAAAAUCACUUGGUGGCCGGGCAUGGUGGCUCACGCCUGUAAUCCCAGCACUUUGGGAGGCCAAGGCGGGCAGAUCACAAGGUCAGGAGUUCGAGACCAGCCUGGCUAAUAUAGUGAAACCCCAUUUCUACUAAAAAUGCAAACAUUAGUCAGGCAUGGUGGCAGGUGCCUGUAGUCCCAGCUACUUGGGAGGAUUGCUUGAGCCAUAUGCUCUAAUAUAUUUUAAAAUACAUAUUUUAAAUAUAUUUUGAGUGGUAAAAUGUAGCAGAUAAUGUUACAUAAAAGAAGCCAUGGUAAUGACAUGACAUUACUGGUUUUGAGUUGUUUGUGUAGUAGUUAGCUAUUAAUACUCAGGUAUAAUGAUUUGCUAUUUAAACUACACAAAUGCUCAAAGUCCAGCGAUACCCUGCACCCAAAUUCAGUGGCUAGAUUACCUUCUUAGGAAAGCACAACACUUCAAUGGAGUGACACUGGCAUGAGUCCACUAGAGGGUGUGUAUACAUGGCCUGAGUUCAAAUUGUUCCUGCUGUGAGUACUGCUUUUCAGCUUCAAGU
ensembl:lncRNA PSMA3-AS1 PSMA3 antisense RNA 1